GAAAUGCGAAAAGUAAUGUGAAUUGCAGAAUUCAGUGAAUCAUCGAAUCUUUGAACGCACAUGGCGCCCGCUGGUACUCCGGCGGGCAUGCCUGUCCGAGCGUCAUUUCAACCCCUCAGGGCCCCCUUCAGUGGGCGGACCUGGUGCUGGGGAUCGGCCGCGCACCCCGCGGCCGUCCCUCAAAUUCAGUGGCGGUCACGGCGUGAUCCCUUGCGUAGUACCUAACCUCGCACCGGAGAGCGCUGCGGCCCGCCGUAAAACGGCCCAUUUCAAUGGUUGACCUCGGAUCAGGUAGGAAUACCCGCUGAACUUAA
rnacentral:misc_RNA from 1 species